CUCUCUUCACACUUCCUCUACGCAGAUGGCACCAGCAGAUUCCUCUUUGGAGGCCUUUCAGCAAGUGACCCUGAAGCAACAGAAACCCACUUCCCACUGAUGCAUGUCUGCUGUUUUCCCAUGAAAAGCAAAUGGUAUUUUUCCUUCAACUAUAGUGGCUCCAGAAAUGUCAGUAUAGGAAGCCUUCAGCCAGCGGACUGCAUUUCUUUUCAAAAGCAUAAGGUUAGUGAGUGUGGUGAGAAUCAUUAGGAGCUUGUAAGUCUGAAGGAACCUCAGAUCCAUCUGCUGGACUAUUUGCUCAAUGACUCACAGGAGGGUGAAAGGUUGAAUUACCUUCAUUCAAGAAAAUAGAUAGUUCUUUCCAAGACUCCAUGCAUCGAAGUGAUUGAUCCCUUCUACAAACAGACCCUGAAAUUGGCUUCCAAGACAUUAUAAAUUCCCCAGAGGAUGAAGACAUAAUCUGAAUGUGCAGAAGACUUCGAAGACUUCUCUUGCCUGCAGGUGGGGAAAUGUUUUUCUGAAUCCCACUGACACUAAGUAGAAAUGCAGUAAGCAGUACGGUACUACAUUGAACAAUUAUGGAAGUAGUAGCUGAAAAUGCAGAAAAAUAUAUGAUUCAUUCUGACUGCUUGGCUGAGCAUGGCUAAAAGCUUUGCCUGAUCCUAUGCAGCCAGCGCUGCAGACUGGAUCAAAAUUCUAGUUUUAUCAAAACUAAUGAAUAUCUGAAUAAAUUAAUUAUAUUUUAUUUUAUGAAUAUGUAAUUUUUUACAAAUAAGUAAACUCUGAUUUUCAAAAAUCUUUUUUUCCUCACGUUGUUUGUGAAUUUCCAAUGUUUUUAAGCAAUAGAAAUACAGUAACAUUGCUAAGUAUGCUCCUUGUCUGUAGUUAGAUCACAGCUAUAUUUGAAUCAUAGUUACGUAUUUCCAUUUUUUUUCCUGAGCUGUAUUUUAAGUCACUGUCUUUUAAAUAAAAACCUUCAUCUUUAACUUAUAUUGCAGUGUAGAACUGCUGUGCUAAUCAAUUAAUAACAUUUGUGAGCAUCAGGCAAAUUGUUUUUGUUACACUGAUCCUUAUCACAAUCAUUGUUCUGUAUGUGUACCUGAUUAUUAUCAACCUGCAAGACUUGUCUGUGCAGAGAGCAGGAUGAUAUAUGGUAGAACCUUAGCAGGCUGCAGUAACGAAGACUGAAAUGAGAUCUGUGAGCACUGCUGGAGCAGCAUACUACAGAAGAGAGAGCAGCUCAAAUGUCACACUGAGAUUCCUCCAUGUAACCUUAAAUGCUCGAGAGAUUCAGGAGACUAUCUUAUGUAUCUGCACAAACUGACACAGUGAAAAUCUCAGCAAACAGUAAUUUUCUGGAUUUACUGC
ensembl:lncRNA